GAUGAACGCUAGCUACAGGCUUAACACAUGCGAGUCGAGGGGCAGCAUUAGGUAGCAAUACUGAGAUGGCGACCGGCGCACGGGUGCGUAACGCGUAUCCAACCUUCCCGUUACUCAUGGAUAGCCUUCCGAAAGGGAGAUUAAUACAUGAUGGUGUUGAAAUUCCGCAUGUUAUUUCAACUAAAGAUUUAUCGGUAACGGAUGGGGAUGCGUGACAUUAGAUAGUAGGCGGGGUAACGGCCCACCUAGUCUACGAUGUCUAGGGGUUCUGAGAGGAAGGUCCCCCACACUGGAACUGAGACACGGUCCAGACUCCUACGGGAGGCAGCAGUGAGGAAUAUUGGUCAAUGGCCGGAAGGCUGAACCAGCCAAGUAGCGUGAAGGAUGAAGGUUCUAUGGAUUGUAAACUUCUUUUAUACGGGAAUAAAACCUCCCACGUGUGGGAGCUUGUAUGUACCGUAUGAAUAAGCAUCGGCUAACUCCGUGCCAGCAGCCGCAGUAAAAC
rnacentral:rRNA from 1 species